GAGUACAAGAAAAGGAGCUUCUGGCUGGAGUGUUAGAUGCCUGAUGAGUCACAGUGUGAAGUAUCACACACAAAGUGAAAAUAUCAUCUACAGACUGGGAGAAAGUUUGAAAUAUGAAAAUGAAUUCUUAGAAGAUUUAAAGAGCUACAAAUCAACAUUAAAAAAAAAAAAAAACCUGAAAGAAAAAUUGGAGAAAGAUUCAGAGAAUUUACUGAAUGAAAAGAUAGUUAAUCUCACUGUUAUAAAUGCAAAUUAAAACAAUAUGAAGUGCCAAUCUAUCCAUCAGAUUAGCUAAAUUUAAUGAUGGAAGUGUGGAACAACUGGAGUUCUUAAAGACUGCUGACGGAAGUAUAAAUUGGUGCAGUCACUUUGGAGAGCAAUUUUGCAAUAGAAGAUAAGGCUGAAAAGACACUCACUUUAUUGCACUUCAGAGAUAUUACUUUUUCUGCAAGUUGAAGCAAGUCUAUUGGCACCAUCUUUCCAACAGAAUUAACUCACUUCAUGUCUCUAGGCCCCAUUUUAAAAUUCCUGAAGUCCUACUGUAAUUGUUUUGGCAUUAUUUUUUAGCAAUAAAGUAUUUUAAAUUAAA